AACAAUCGAAACCGCAUGGUUUUGAUUUGAAAGGCGCUUUCGGGUGUCGCUGAUGGAUGGACCCGCGGUGCAUUAGCUAGUUGGUGAGGUAACGGCUCACCAAGGCCACGAUGCAUAGCCGACCUGAGAGGGUGAUCGGCCACAUUGGGACUGAGACACGGCCCAAACUCCUACGGGAGGCAGCAGUAGGGAAUCUUCGGCAAUGGACGAAAGUCUGACCGAGCAACGCCGCGUGAGUGAAGAAGGUUUUCGGAUCGUAAAACUCUGUUGUUAGAGAAGAACAAGGAUGAGAGUAACUGUUCAUCCCUUGACGGUAUCUAACCAGAAAGCCACGGCUAACUACGUGCCAGCAGCCGCGGUAAUACGUAGGUGGCAAGCGUUGUCCGGAUUUAUUGGGCGUAAAGCGAGCGCAGGCGGUUUCUUAAGUCUGAUGUGAAAGCCCCCGGCUCAACCGGGGAGGGUCAUUGGAAACUGGGAGACUUGAGUGCAGAAGAGGAGAGUGGAAUUCCAUGUGUAGCGGUGAAAUGCGUAGAUAUAUGGAGGAACACCAGUGGCGAAGGCGGCUCUCUGGUCUGUAACUGACGCUGAGGCUCGAAAGCGUGGGGAGCAAACAGGAUUAGAUACCCUGGUAGUCCACGCCGUAAACGAUGAGU
rnacentral:rRNA from 1 species